CCGUUCGCAGCCGGCGGGGCAGCGGGUGAGUGUCUGGUGCGUGGAUUCGGACUGUGGCAGGAUCCGAUGCCAUCCUCGGUAACAGCACCUUGUCCCUGCCAAAAGCAUGCAGGACGAAGGGAAGCCCAGCAGCGCCCUGCUGAGCCCUGGGUGCAGCACCUCUUUCUAUUUGGAAAUCAAGGAUGAGGCUUUUGGAUGAGAGUAUCCUUCCCACUAACCACCCAUGAGUCUAUAAGGAAGGAGGUGAAAAUUUCUUUGAUCAGUCUUGUUUGUCUGCUCAUCUGCACAAUGGAUGCAAUGUGUCUUCCACCCAAUGAUCCUGUACUAAAGAAGUGCCUGUCUCGAGCUAGCGAGCAGGAUUUCAAGGUGUGAUCCAUUUGCUGGAGGUCCCUGUAACACGUGCAUGGUUCCCUGAUCUGGAAUGAAUUGGACAGUGGAUCCAAAGGUAACGGAACUCCUUUAGGCUUGAAACUUGGUAUGUGGGAUGGGGAGGAAUGUAGUAGAAAAGCAGUGGAUUUGUUUUAAGUGUUUGGUGUUUGACAUGCAGUAGACUUGCAGUGAAUUCCUGUACAAAACUUUCUGUUCUGUCAUGUGGAUUUUUCAUGUCACACUUUGGCACAAAGUUAGGAUUUGUUUAAUUAGAAGGCAUAAUUUAUGGGGUGGGAAAAACUGGAGCUGUCUGCUCCCAGGUUGCAAGUAAAAUGAGAGAGGAAGAGAGACUAGAAAUAGAAAAUAAAAGUAAACAGUGUUCAGUACUUGUGGAAAUUCAGAAACUGUUUCAACACCUCUUAUUUGCCAUAUCUAGAUAGUUGUUUUUUGCAGACUUUGCAUGUCAGUUGACUUUGAUAAGUCUCUAACUUCAGAAUGCUGCUGUCUCUAUAUAGUCCCCGUUUAUCAGUAGUUCUCAUUUGGUUGUACCUGAUAUGUGCUCGUGAAGUCACCUUUGGGUAACUGCAGAGUUUCCUCUUUGCUGUUGAGUUUGACACAGCUCCAUGGUGUCUGUUAAGGCGAGAAUGGGUCUUAGACUCAAGUGGUGAAAAGGGAUUGCUUGGCAUGCUAGGAACAUGGCUCCAGUGAGACUAGCUGUGACAAUGACAGGACCAACCUUGCAUCUGAUAAAGUGCAGGUCUUUAUCAUGCCAGUCAGUAAUAGAGCAAGAACUGAUCUAUCCAUCAUUUCAGUUAAGUCUUGCCAACCUCCUCAAAUGAUCUUUUGUAUUCCCAGUAAAAUAAGAUGAAUGGCUCCUUUGUGUCCUUGGCACUUGGCCACCUCCCUACUCUGAUUUUUUGCAAUACAUUUGACAGCACAGAAGAAAGGGGCUUGUUAAUGUCUUUCUUUACUGACUAGCUCCUGUCUUGUUUUUUUCCCCCCAGCAGGGCUGGCUGGAGAAGGAGAGAGCUGUUGACCAAGGAGGUUUUAUCUUUCAGAAAUAAAUCAU